rnacentral:rRNA from 1 species
CUUCAUGAAGCCGGAAUUGCUAGUAAUGGCAGGUCAGCAUACUGCCGUGAAUACGUUCCCGGGCCCUUGUACACACCGCCCGUCACACCAUGAGAGUUGGAAAUACCCGAAGCCUGUGAGCUAACUUAAAGAGGCAGCAGUCGAAGGUAGAGCCAAUGAUUGGGGUGAAGUCGUAACAAGGUAGC